CCUACGGGAGGCAGCAGUGGGGGAUAUUGCACAAUGGGGGAAACCCUGAUGCAGCGACGCCGCGUGAGUGAAGAAGUAUUUCGGUAUGUAAAGCUCUAUCAGCAGGGAAGAAAAUGACAGUACCUGACCAAGAAGCCCCGGCUAACUACGUGCCAGCAGCCGCGGUAAUACGUAGGGGGCAAGCGUUAUCCGGAUUUACUGGGUGUAAAGGGAGCGUAGGCGGUUAUAUAAGUCUGGAGUGAAAGCCCGGGGCUCAACCCCGGGACUGCUUUGGAAACUGUGUAACUGGAGUACAGGAGGGGCAGGCGGAAUUCCUGGUGUAGCGGUGAAAUGCGUAGAUAUCAGGAGGAACACCGGCGGCGAAGGCGGCCUGCUAGACUGAAACUGACGUUGAGGCUCGAAAGCGUGGGGAGCAAACAGGAUUAGAUACCCGAGUAGUC
rnacentral:rRNA from 1 species